GUGAAUCAUCGAAUCUUUGAACGCACAUGGCGCCUUCCAGUAUCCUGGGAGGCAUGCCUGUCCGAGCGUCGUUUCAACCCUCGAGCCCCAGUGGCCCGGUGUUGGGGAUCUGCCACGGCAGGCCCCUAAAUCCAGUGGCGGACCCGUCGGGCCCUCUCCUUUACGUAGUAGCAUCAGCCUCGUAUCGGGAGCCUGCGGCGUCCUCGCCUCUAAACCCCCCAACAAGCCCGCCUCGGCGGCACCAAGGUUGACCUCGGAUCAGGUAGGAAUACCCGCUGAACUUAAGCAUAUCAAUAAGCGGAGGA
rnacentral:misc_RNA from 1 species